UGGGGAAUAUUGCGCAAUGGGCGAAAGCCUGACGCAGCCAUGCCGCGUGUGUGAAGAAGGCCUUCGGGUUGUAAAGCACUUUCACUUGGGAAGAAAAGCUCGGAGCUAAUACCUUCGAGCCGUGACAUUACCUUGAGAAGAAGCACCGGCUAACUCCGUGCCAGCAGCCGCGGUAAUACGGAGGGUGCGAGCGUUAAUCGGAAUUACUGGGCGUAAAGCGCGCGUAGGCGGUUUGUUAAGUCGGAUGUGAAAGCCCCGGGCUCAACCUGGGAAUUGCACCCGAUACUGGCCGACUGGAGUGCGAGAGAGGGAGGUAGAAUUCCACGUGUAGCGGUGAAAUGCGUAGAUAUGUGGAGGAAUACCGGUGGCGAAGGCGGCCUCCUGGCUCGACACUGACGCUGAGGUGCGAAAGCGUGGGGAGCAAACA
rnacentral:rRNA from 1 species